UGUGGUUCAGUGGUAGAGUGCUUGCCUGGCAUGCAUGAGGCACUGGGUUCAAUCCUCAGCA
rnacentral:tRNA from 1 species